AACGAACGCUGGCGGCAGGCCUAACACAUGCAAGUCGAGCGGACCCUUCGGGGUUAGCGGCGGACGGGUGAGUAACGCGUGGGUAUAUGCCCUUCUCUACGGAAUAGUCCUGGGAAACUGGGGGUAAUACCGUAUACGCCCUUUGGGGGAAAGAUUUAUCGGGGAAGGAUUAGCCCGCGUUGGAUUAGGUAGUUGGUGGGGUAAUGGCCUACCAAGCCGACGAUCCAUAGCUGGUUUGAGAGGAUGAUCAGCCACACUGGGACUGAGACACGGCCCAGACUCCUACGGGAGGCAGCAGUGGGGAAUCUUAGACAAUGGGGGCAACCCUGAUCUAGCCAUGCCGCGUGAGUGAUGAAGGCCUUAGGGUUGUAAAGCUCUUUCAGCUGGGAAGAUAAUGACGGUACCAGCAGAAGAAGCCCCGGCUAACUCCGUG
rnacentral:rRNA from 1 species